ACCAAGUCCCCUCUCAGUCUGUUUUUUCUCCAGGCUGAACAGUCCCGUGUCUUUCAGCCUCUCCUCAUUUGACCUGCUCUCUAGACUUCUAAUCACGUGCAAGAUUCAUAGCUAGAAG